rnacentral:rRNA from 1 species
UGGGGAAUUUUGGACAAUGGGGGAAACCCUGAUCCAGCCAUCCCGCGUGUGCGAUGAAGGCCUUCGGGUUGUAAAGCACUUUUGGCAGGAAAGAAACGUCGCGGGUUAAUACCCCGCGAAACUGACGGUACCUGCAGAAUAAGCACCGGCUAACUACGUGCCAGCAGCCGCGGUAAUACGUAGGGUGCAAGCGUUAAUCGGAAUUACUGGGCGUAAAGCGUGCGCAGGCGGUUCGGAAAGAAAGAUGUGAAAUCCCAGAGCUUAACUUUGGAACUGCAUUUUUAACUACCGGGCUAGAGUGUGUCAGAGGGAGGUGGAAUUCCGCGUGUAGCAGUGAAAUGCGUAGAUAUGCGGAGGAACACCGAUGGCGAAGGCAGCCUCCUGGGAUAACACUGACGCUCACGCACGAAAGCGUGGGGAGCAAACAGGAUUAGAUACCCUGGUAGUCCACGCCCUAAAUGAUGUCAACUAGCUGUUGGGGCCUUCGGGCCUUGGUAGCGCAGCUAACGCGUGAAGUUGACCGCCUGGGGAGUACGGUCGCAAGAUUAAAACUCAAAGGAA